rfam:Oryza meridionalis cultivar OR44 (W2112) chromosome 1, whole genome shotgun sequence.
UUUAAACGCAGUCAUGAGUUUUUUUUGUCUAACUUUAAUCAUCGUCUUAUUUAAAUUUUUUUAUGAUUAGUUUGUUUAUUGUUAUUAAAUGAUAAAAAUAAAUAUUACUUUAUGCGUAACUUAUGUUUUUUUAUUUUUUUCAAAAAAAAUUUAAAUAAAACAAAUGAUUAAAGUUGGACACAGAAACUGGUUGUGUUUUAA